UACGGAGGGUGCAAGCGUUGUCCGGAUUUAUUGGGUUUAAAGGGUGCGUAGGUGGCCUUAUAAGUCAGUGGUGAAAGCCUGCAGCUUAACUGUAGGACUGCCAUUGAUACUGUAGGGCUUGAGUACUGAUGAGGUAGGCGGAAUUGAUAGUGUAGCGGUGAAAUGCAUAGAUAUUAUCAAGAACACCGAUGGCGAAGGCAGCUUACUAAGGAGUUACUGACACUGAGGCACGAAAGCGUGGGGAGCAAACAGG
rnacentral:rRNA from 1 species